AUGAUUCAAAGCAAAUCCGCAAGAACUCAGAGUAACAAAUCGUAUUCUCCGGAAUGUCUCUCAGUUUCGCCUUCACCUUCUCCAUUUGUGAAGCUCUUAAAAUUCUUCGCAUCCUCAACUGUUAUUUCAGUUCCGGUACCACACGCCGGAGCAGACAACGGCGGAAAACCAAGACCGAAACAAACCCCGGUACCGGUAAUUUUGUUGAUAUUUGAGUUUCUCCCUGAGUUUUUUUUCCACCGGUAG